CCCGCAGUAUACUUUUGUGUUUUUGUGUUACUUAAUAAAAAAAAUCAAAUCACAGGAUUAUACUGUGAG
rnacentral:pre_miRNA from 1 species